ACCAGCAACAACAACAAAUGAGCAAAUUAAAAUGGUGGCUUUAAACAACUAGUGUUGGGUACUUUCCCACAGUGUGUUCCACAGCUGUAAGCGGAACACUGUUCAAGCUGAAAUUGCAGAUUAAAAGGUGCGUUCUUUGCUCUCAGCGUCAUGGUUAAAACCAUGGACAGAAAUCAUUACAAGCAAGCCUGGAAGAGAAAGGGCUUAGCAUCCGAGCUGAGGGUGGAGGAAGAGUGCAGCUUGCCAGGCUCCAGGGUCUUGGGAGGCAGCAGUCCAGGUGCAGCAACCAUCCCGAAGAGCUACAGCAAUUCAGCUGUAGUAUAGGUCCAAAGAGUGGGUACGGGGCUGAUAAAAGUGGGGAGACCUGUCAUGGAUGAAGAGAAAUUGCAUAGGGAACCUACUAUGCCAGGCUGAAAAAUGCUGAUUUUGUCCUGGCCCCAGUGGGUGAGUGCUGGAGAUUUUGGAACACGCUUAUCUGCGUGGCGUAAACACCCAUUUGUUGGUGGAAAAAAAGCAAUAACUCUUUGCCAAUCAACUGAGUGGAAAAAGGGCCACAUUGCAACCCAAGCAGUUUCUAUUUAAGUCCUUGUGCUCCCUGUGACUCACCGUAUAAUUUUGAAGAGAUUACUUAAGGCCCAUGCCCUCCCUGUAAACACCUGUCACUCUCCCGGUUUGCAGAGAUGCUAGGAGGCUAAUGAGAUCACAUGUAUGGAAUGUAUGGGAGCUUCUAAAAGAAAUAAACCAGAUACAUUCACGAUAGUAUUAUCAUCACCUCAGCCAUCUGGAAGUCAACUUUCUAGCAGACAUAGGGGUUCUGAGCAGGGCAGAAGCCAGAAACUCAGAAAUAAAGGAAAAACAAAGAAAGGUAUUUGGCCCCAGAGAAAGCAGGAAGGAGAUACGGAAAGGACUGGAGAGUGAAAGAUAGCAUGAUACAGGACGUGCUGGGCUGCGAAGGAGACCCCCACACCCCCCUUGGAGGAAAUGACAGGGAAAGCUCCUUCUAUUGAAUAAAUCAAGUCUGCUCAGAAAGAAAUAGAAUUAAAGCACAGGCAUUUAAUCAAAUCAGACAAGUCACUCAAAGCUUACCAAAUGUUGGGGCCUCUUCCAGCUCUACUACUCACGGAGAUGCAGACGCUGCUAACUCACUCCCAUUCUCCCCUCAUCUUCACCAUCAGAAGUAGAGUGGGUGAUGCCUGGCUUAUGACGGACCUGUGCGAAUAGAGGGAGAACAAUCCCACAGGAGGCCUUCACCCAGAGGUGGCUACUGUGAUCACCCAGAUGUGCGUGCCCCAAAAGCUCAUGAGUGCAGAUGAAGUGGAGGGAUAGCCCGACAUCUUCCUGAAAAACCUACCCCUGAACACAAGGAAGAUAACACAAGGCCACACCAGAGACCCCCGUGGUUCACUUUUCUUCUUUCUCUUCCUAAUGAGGUGGGGCCCAGCUCUUGCAUAUUGAAAACAUGACUGCAGGUGUCUGGAUGCAGCAGCCUCUUCCAUCUGUAUCCAGUUCCAUCACUUGGAUAUGCCACCCUAGGACCCAGGUCCCAUUUUCUACUUUUGUUUGAAAACGUAGACCAGCUCUGGGAGGUAUGACAUGUAGAUGACAUCAUCUCACAAAUGGAAAACCAGACCCUCAAAAGUAAAUACUGCACUCGCACCCCAAGAGAGAGCUGGGAGCAGAGGCCAGUGUGAGGACUUGACACCCCAAGAUGCUAACUGCGUCCUUGUUUUCUGCAAAACUAACAGAACACUAAGAGAAGUGAGAUUGUCUGCCUCAGCUGCAAAGUUGAAAUGGGUCUACUUGUACAAUCUUCAGGUGGACUAAAAUCAUCCACACAGAGGGCAGUGCAAGAUUGGACGCCAUAGAAGAAUGCACAAAAGGAAUUGAUUCUAAAUUGCUGCAGAAUGAUUAGAGUUUGGUACCAGGAGAGAAAAACAAAAAGCAAACAAACAAAAUAGGACAUAGGCAUUGGAGAACCUGCCGAGGGUUUUCUAAGGGAGGCUGCCAGGAUGUCUUUCCUGGAGGCUCAUGGACAAGAAGGCCACCUGUUAGGCAGGGGUGGGCUAACAGAGGGGAGAUGGAACAAGUGACCCAUUGCUGCUCUGGUCCCAACCUUGUGGCAGAAGUUCCUCCAUGUGGAUCUCCCAUCAUUUUUAGGAGAAAGCUGCUUGUACAAUGCAAACUUACCCCAACCAUGCUAAGAUUUUGGUUUUAUUACAAGUUCUGCUGCUCAGAUCUCUUUUCUGUCAGAUCCCUGGAGAGGUGCAGCUGCAAGCAGUGGUUGCAAAGUGACACUUACAUAUCUACCAGUCUGGCUCUAAAAGUCUCCCCACUGAACACCUAAGGCCCUGUUCUGCCUUCAUAGCUCUCUGAAUACCGAAUUUUACCCAACAGUGCUUCCAACACUUGAGUAGGAAAGAGAGAAGGGUGAAAAUAAUUGGCUUAUGAGGGCUUUCAAGGGUGAACUUUGCUGACCUGAAUCAUUUGGCUGCUGCAUCCAGACACCUGCAGUCAUAUUUUCAAUAUGCAAGAGCAAAGAGGAAUUAGGUAUGCCAGAACAGAGUCGUUUGUGUUCUGUGCAAUCUGUUCUCUACACAAUCACAAAGCAUGUUUUAAUGAUAUUUCAAAACACUUUUUCAAAGAGAGUUUAAUGCAAAGCAGAUUUCUUUGUGUAACAAAGACAGGAAAGAUACUACUUGACAGAAGCUCUUAAAUCCAAGACUACGGAGGCUAUCAAAAACAAUUGGCAGCAGGCCAGGAACUCAAAUUUUGACAAGAGUUGUCAGAUACUGUGAUUCAAGGGGCAAUACAAAUUUGUCAGAGGUAUUAUCCUUAGAUCAUCAAAAAUGUUCGUUGUGCUUAUCUAGAUUUCCCUCCAAAGAUCUUGCAAAGGUUAAGAGAACAAGUGAUGAUGUCUGGAGGGGCUUGUGAUCCCAGGCAGAAGUUGUAAGGAGGGCAAGUGUGAACCAUGGGGAUUUGGAGAUUUUCACUGAUAAGAUUUUACCUGAAAAGUCAGGUGAAUCUACCUCUGUAUGCAACACUCUUUUUUUUCUUUUCUUUUUUAAAUUAUACUUUAUGUUCUAGGGUACAUGUGCACAACUUGCAGGUUU